rnacentral:rRNA from 1 species
GAUGAACGCUGGCGGCGUGCCUAAUACAUGCAAGUCGAGCGAACGGACGAGAAGCUUGCUUCUCUGAUGUUAGCGGCGGACGGGUGAGUAACACGUGGAUAACCUACCUAUAAGACUGGGAUAACUUCGGGAAACCGGAGCUAAUACCGGAUAAUAUUUUGAACCGCAGGGUUCAAAAGUGAAAGACGGUCUUUCUGUCACUUAUAGAUGGAUCCGCGCUGCAUUAGCUAGUUGGUAAGGUAACGGCUUACCAAGGCAACGAUGCAUAGGCGACCUGAAAGGUUGAUCGGCCACACUGGAACUGAGACACGGUCCAGGGUCCUACGGGAGGCAGCAGUAGGGAAUCUUCCGCAGAGGGCGAAAGCCUGACGGAACAACGCCGCGUGAGUUAUGAAGGUCUUCGGAUCGUAAAACUCUGUUAUUAGGGAAGAACAUAUGUGUAAGUAACUGUGCACAUCUUGACGGUACCUAAUCAGAAAGCCACGGCUAACUACGUG